CCUACGGGGGGCAGCAGGGGGGAAUAUUGGACAAUGGGGGCAACCCUGAUCCAGCCAUGCCGCGUGUGUGAAGAAGGCCCUCGGGUUGUAAAGCACUUUCAGUGAGGAAGAACGCCUGGUGGUUAAUACCCAUCAGGAAAGACAUCACUCACAGAAGAAGCACCGGCUAACUCCGUGCCAGCAGCCGCGGUAAUACGGAGGGUGCGAGCGUUAAUCGGAAUUACUGGGCGUAAAGCGCGCGUAGGUGGCUUGAUAAGCCGGUUGUGAAAGCCCCGGGCUCAACCUGGGAACGGCAUCCGGAACUGUCAAGCUAGAGUGCAGGAGAGGAAGGUAGAAUUCCCGGUGUAGCGGUGAAAUGCGUAGAGAUCGGGAGGAAUACCAGUGGCGAAGGCGGCCUUCUGGACUGACACUGACACUGAGGUGCGAAAGCGUGGGUAGCAAACAGGAUUAGAUACCCGAGUAGUC
rnacentral:rRNA from 1 species